GCUCAACACUAUUAUAAUUAAAAAGGGUGAGUUUAGGUUGUAAAAGCAUGCCCUGUACAAGGGAUCCUUGAUCAGCCUGUUAGCCCUAAACCUGUAAUUAGGAGUUU
rfam:Muricauda antarctica strain CGMCC 1.12174 genome assembly, contig: Ga0079848_102